CCUACGGGGGGCAGCAGUGAGGAAUAUUGGUCAAUGGGCGGAAGCCUGACCCAGCAACGCCGCGUGAAGGAAGAAGGCUUUCGGGUUGUAAACUUCUUUUCUCAGGGACGAAGCAAGUGACGGUACCUGAGGCAUAAGCUACGGCUAACUACGUGCCAGCAGCCGCGGUAAUACGUAGGUGGCAGUCGUUAUCCGGAUUUACUGGGUGUAAAGGGCGUGUAGGCGGGACUGCAAGUCAGAUGUGAAAACCACGGGCUCAACCUGUGGCCUGCAUUUGAAACUGUAGUUCUUGAGUACUGGAGAGGCGGACGGAAUUCCUAGUGUAGCGGUGAAAUGCGUAGAUAUUAGGAGGAACACCAGUGGCGAAGGCGGUCUGCUGGACAGCAACUGACGCUGAGGCGCGAAAGCGUGGGGAGCAAACAGGAUUAGAUACCCUGGUAGUC
rnacentral:rRNA from 1 species